rnacentral:lncRNA from 1 species
CUUCAGCUUCCUGAAGCCACCAGCUCUCAACAGGCCCCAGCCCUAACCACAAGCCAGAUCCUUCCCUGCUCUCUCAGACCAUUUCACACCCACCUGGGAGGCCUGUCUGUCCGCUCAAAGAGCUCAAUUAUGUCUGGCGCAGUGGCUCACGCCUCUAAUCCCAGCACCCUGGGAGGCCAAGGCAGGUGGAUCACCAGAGAUCAGGAGUUUGAGACUAGCUUGUACAACAUGGCGAAACCCCAUCUCUACUAAAAAUAAAAUAAAUAAAUAAAUAAAUAAAUUAGCCAGAGAUGGUAGCAGGCCAUUUUAUUUCAUUUCCACUUCACAAAUCCAACAUAGUUAAUCGGGUUUGAUAUUAAUGAGCCUGUACAGCUAAAACAUGGAAAUAUAAUAACUACUGUUGAUCAAUCUUUCAGGUAGGUAAAAGCUAAUUUUGCAAACAAUUAAUGUCAUGUUGUGAUUUAUCAUAAACCGUUGAAACAGUUCAACAGUGAUCCCUCUUUAAUGUUGAUGAAUGUUAACAUGUUUCGGAUUGUAAUUCUCAAUACAUUUUCCACAUGGAACAGCACAUAGACCUAGAAUUUGUCAGAAAGAAAUAAUUUUUCCUCUAGCCUCUUAGAAUCAGUGUUCGGAGUCUUGCAAAUUAAAAUGACAAAAGACUGGCCUGGCACUGUGGCUCACACCUGUAACCCUAGCACUUUGGGAGACGGAGGUGGGUGGAUUGCUUAAGCCCAGAAGUUGGAGACCAGCCUGGGCAAUAUGGUGAAUCGCUGUCUCUGGAAAAAAAAAAUGCAAAAAUUAGCCAAGCAUGAUGGCAAUGAUGGCGUGCACCUAUAGUCCCAGCUACUCAGGAGGCUGAACUUGGG